rnacentral:rRNA from 1 species
UACGUAGGGUGCGAGCGUUAAUCGGAAUUACUGGGCGUAAAGGGUGCGCAGGCGGUUUUUUAAGUCAGCUGUGAAAUACCUGGGCUUAACCUAGGGACUGCAGUUGAGACUGGAAGGCUAGAGUGAGUCAGAGGGGGGUAGAAUUCCACGUGUAGCAGUGAAAUGCGUAGAGAUGUGGAGGAAUACCGAUGGCGAAGGCAGCCCCCUGGGAUAACACUGACGCUCAUGCACGAAAGCGUGGGGAGCAAACGGG